CCGGUGUGUAUUUUGUAAUAUCCUAGGAUCCUGGCCAAACCUCUACUUUGCGUAAGUUACCUUAUUUUGUAAUAUCUCGGUUUAUAACACUGUGGGUGUUUCCGUUCUUACUCGAGUGUAUCUGUAUCCGUAUCUGUAAUAAAUCUUCACCUCCAGUAUAGGAGAUGGAGGAGAUCCUCAUUUAAACCAAAACCCAAAUAAUAUCACACAAUACUGUACAUGUAACUCUAAAGUAUUAACAGUUAAACAUAGACGUUGACCAUUCAUCAGUGUUUCUGGUGAGAAUUUUGUAAAGGACCGGUCAGAAAUCUAUAGUAUUUCAACCUUAUACAACUACAGAAUAGGAUGCAUAGGACACAAGGAUUGACAAAAAUGUGAUACAUCCCAUCGUCUCUGUUUAAAAGGGGAAAAAAAUAUAUAACCAAUUAAAAUAGAUAAAAAUAAAAUGGUGGAAGAGGGAAAAUAGGAAAAAUGCACCAAUUUAAAGUUAAAACUCAAUCACCAGAUAGAAUAUUUACAGCAAUAUAUUACACAGAAUUAUAUUUAUAAAUACACUGUUGUUAUGUGACCGUUUGCACCGGGUAACAUUUCUCGAUAUAGGGGUCUAUUUCGAAUGGUAGAUUUAUGAAAUAAAAUAUAUAUAAAAAAAAAAAGAUUAAUAAAUUCGAAAAUUAAAAUGAAAAUAUGUUGAUUUUUAUAAAUGUAUUGGAGUAGCCCAUCACUUUCUCGACUUUAUCGCUGCCAGCAUCUUAUAUUUAUGUGUAAUUAGGACAAAUUCUCCCUCUGCGACCGAAUUGUUGUCAACAAAUGAACACCACGGUAACAUAUUAUGUGUAAUUAUCGUUUUUCGUGCUCUCUCCAUCUCAUUUAAACUCCUUGGUUGAACAACAUAUUUUAAAAGAUUGAAUUUAUUUUCUGAUGGGGAAUAUUUUACAUUCUUUUUUCUUUGUCAGCAAUUAAUACUAAAUAGAAUUACAUUUAAAUUCUAUGUUCUGUCCACUGACCAGAAAACAGGCUAUAAAAGCUUGUGUGUGCUACAAAGAUAUUAUUGGCAUGAACAAUAUUGAAAGUGAUGUCUUUGUACUUAUAGAAACACCUAAAAAAAAGUGGAGGCAUAAUUUUACAAACUUCCUCUGAAAUUUUACAUUUAAAUUAAAAUCCAACAAAAGAAAAAUUGUUCAGAUUAAAAAUUAUAUCUGAUUUCAUAACCCUGUUUUACACAAAAUCAUCACUAUUUAACAGCAUACAAGUACAUCCACACACCCCUCCCCCAAAAAAAUAAAUAAAAUACAACUCAGCCCUUAAAAUCAGUGGUGAUGAUAAAUGACUUGUUAUUACCAUUUAGAUAUAAAGAUGUAUGCUAGUUAUUAACUCACAACAAAAUCAAAAUAUAGCACCACUGUGCACAUCCUACAUAUUUUUGUUUUUCUACAGGGGGAUGAAUAGGUACAGUGGAGUGAAACAUAGGCUCUGCAUAAGUUUUAUGCAGAUAAACUUGAAAAAUAAUUUAUAAAACGGCACAAACUAGUGAAAACAAACCUAUUGCGUACAUUUAUUAUAUCAAUUUAAAACUUAAAAAAUAA
rnacentral:lncRNA from 1 species